AUUGAACGCUGGCGGCAGGCCUAACACAUGCAAGUCGAGCGAGCGGCGGACGGGUGAGAAAUGUCUGGGAAACUGCCUGCUGGAGGGGGAUAACUCCUGGAAACGGUAGCUAUUACCGCACACCAUCAGAUGUGCCCCUAUGGGAUUAGCUAGUAGGUGGGGUAACGGCUCACCUAGGCGACGAUCCCUAGCUGGUCUGAGAGGAUGACCAGCCACACGGGGACUGAGACACGGUCCAGACUCCUACGGGAGGCAGCAGUGGGGAAUAUUGCACAAUGGGCGCAAGCCUGAUGCAGCCAUGCCGCGUGUGUGAAGAAGGCCUUCGGGUUGUAAAGCACUUUCAGCGGGGAGGCGUUACCCGCAGAAGAAGCACCGGCUAACUCCGUGCCAGCAGCCGCGGUAAUAC
rnacentral:rRNA from 1 species